AACGAACGCUGGCGGCAUGCCUAACACAUGCAAGUCGAACGAGACCUUCGGGUCUAGUGGCGCACGGGUGCGUAACGCGUGGGAAUCUGCCCUUCGGUUCGGAAUAACUCAGGGAAACUUGAGCUAAUACCGGAUAAUGACGUAAGUCCAAAGAUUUAUCGCCGAAGGAUGAGCCCGCGUAGGAUUAGCUUGUUGGUGGGGUAAUGGCCUACCAAGGCGACGAUCCUUAGCUGGCCUGAGAGGAUGAUCAGCCACACUGGGACUGAGACACGGCCCAGACUCCUACGGGAGGCAGCAGUGGGGAAUAUUGGACAAUGGGCGAAAGCCUGAUCCAGCAAUGCCGCGUGAGUGAUGAAGGCCUUAGGGUUGUAAAGCUCUUUUACCCGGGAUGAUAAUGACAGUACCGGGAGAAUAAGCUCCGGCUAACUCCGUGCCAGCCGCCGCGGUAA
rnacentral:rRNA from 1 species